rnacentral:rRNA from 1 species
GAUGAACGCUGGCGGCGUGCCUAAUACAUGCAAGUCGAGCGAACAGACGAGGAGCUUGCUCCUCUGACGUUAGCGGCGGACGGGUGAGUAACACGGGGAUAACCUACCUAUAAGACUGGGAUAACUUCGGGAAACCGGAGCUAAUACCGGAUAAUAUAUUGAACCGCAUGGUUCAAUAGUGAAAGACGGUUUUGCUGUCACUUAUAGAUGGAUCCGCGCCGCAUUAGCUAGUUGGUAAGGUAACGGCUUACCAAGGCGACGAUGCGUAGCCGACCUGAGAGGGUGAUCGGCCACACUGGAACUGAGACACGGUCCAGACUCCUACGGGAGGCAGCAGUAGGGAAUCUUCCGCAAAGGGCGAAAGCUUGACGGAGCAACGCCGCGUGAGUGAUGAAGGUCUUCGGAUCGUAAAACUCUGUUAUUAGGGAAGAACAAAUGUGUAAGUAACUAUGCACGUCUUGACGGUACCUAAUCAGAAAGCCACGGCUAACUACGUG